GGAAAUCAGACCAGAUGAGACAGGUGGUCCUGGUGGCUGUCGGGGAGGCAGCAGUCAAGCUCCUGAUUCUUGGGCUCUGUCUCACACUUCUCAGUGUGGUGAUCUGCAGGAGGAAGGCAACAAAACUGUCGGUGCACAUGAACUGUGAAAAUCCCUACCAAGGCUCACCCGCAGGACUCCAAGGUGCACAGCCAUGCUGAGAAUUCAAGACCCUUGAGGAAGGACUUACCUUAGGAACAGAGCAGUAUCUGAACUUAGAUUCCCCUGAAUUUCAUGGGGGCGAAGUCUCAGGAGUACCCAGAGAUCUAAGUUCACCAAGCUUUGCUCUUGUGUAAAGCACCUGUGUCCUCUAUGGCUCCCUGCAGAUAAUUCCUGGAUCCCGCUGAUUCCAACAGACAAUGGAUUACGCUGCUGUGUGAGUCUCACACUCUGUUGACCAUGUCUGACUUUACAAUAAGAGACCUGGGACUGAGUCUGUGUUUCUUAAUUCACAUCAUCAGAGGUCGUUCCCUCUAUUUUUGGUUUUUGUACUCAGUAUAAUGGGCUCCUGCCUUCUCCUCCUGCCUCACCUCUCUUUCUCCUUCCCUCUCUCCACAUCUCUCAUAUGGAGGAAUAUACACAAGUGUGGGACAAUGCUCUUGCGCAUGAGUACCAUGAAGACCAGAGGUCAAAGUUCAGUGUCUUCUUCUAUUGUUUGCUACAUUGUCGUCGUUGUCGUCGUCAUCAUCAUCAUCAUCAUCAUCAUCAUCAUCCUGACAUAGGAUGUGGUGGUUUGAAUAAAAAUGGCCCCCAUUGGGCACAAUU
rnacentral:lncRNA from 1 species